rfam:Streptomyces sp. WAC00263 NODE_7645_length_1262_cov_2.687797, whole genome shotgun sequence.
UGACCCCGUGCGGGAGAGUCCUCCAGACAUCAUCGGAGGCGCCGAAGGAGCAAAUCCUCCCCGGAAUCUCUCAGGCACACGUACCGCACGGACGAG